GAUGAACGCUGGCUACAGGCUUAACACAUGCAAGUCGAGGGGAAACGACGGGGAAGCUUGCUUCCCCGGGCGUCGACCGGCGCACGGGUGAGUAACGCGUAUCCAACCUGCCUCUGACUGAGGGAUAACCCGUCGAAAGUCGGCCUAAUACCUCAUGGUAUCGUCUGCGGGCAUCCAACGACGAUUAAAGAUUUCAUCGGUCAGUGAUGGGGAUGCGUCUGAUUAGCUUGUUGGCGGGGUAACGGCCCACCAAGGCUACGAUCAGUAGGGGUUCUGAGAGGAAGGUCCCCCACAUUGGAACUGAGACACGGUCCAAACUCCUACGGGAGGCAGCAGUGAGGAAUAUUGGUCAAUGGGCGAGAGCCUGAACCAGCCAAGUAGCGUGCAGGAAGACGGCCCUAUGGGUUGUAAACUGCUUUUAUGCGGGGAUAAAGUGAGGGACGUGUCCCUCAUUGAAGGUACCGAAUGAAUAAGGACCGGCUAAUUCCGUG
rnacentral:rRNA from 1 species